rnacentral:rRNA from 1 species
UACGGAGGGUGCAAGCGUUAUCCGGAUUCACUGGGUUUAAAGGGUGCGUAGGUGGGCAGGUAAGUCAGUGGUGAAAUCUCCGGGCUUAACCCGGAAACUGCCAUUGAUACUAUUUGUCUUGAAUACCGUGGAGGUCAGCGGAAUAUGUCAUGUAGCGGUGAAAUGCGUAGAUAUCGAGAGGAACACCUGCGGCGAAGGCGGGUUGCUGGGCUGAUACUGACGCUGAGGCGCGAAAGCCAGGGGAGCGAACGGG